rnacentral:rRNA from 1 species
GACGAACGCUGGCGGCGUGCUUAACACAUGCAAGUCGAACGAUGAAGCCGGAGCUUGCUCUGGUGAAUUAGUGGCGAACGGGUGAGUAACACGUGAGUAACCUGCCCUUGACUCUGGGAUAACUGCGGGAAACUGUAGCUAAUACCGGAUACGACCCUCGGAGGCAUCUCCUGGGGGUGGAGAGAAUGUCGGUCAAGGAUGGACUCGCGGCCUAUCAGCUAGUUGGUGAGGUAAAGGCUCAACAAGGCGACGACGGGUAGCCGGCCUGAGAGGGUGACCGGCCACACUGGGACUGAGACACGGCCCAGACUCCUACGGGAGGCAGCAGUGGGGAAUAUUGCACAAUGGGCGCAAGCCUGAUGCAGCAACGCCGCGUGAGGGAUGACGGCCUUCGGGUUGUAAACCUCUUUUAGCAGGGAAGAAGCGAAAGUGACGGUACCUGCAGAAAAAGCACCGGCUAACUACGUGCCAGCAGCCGCCGUAA